rnacentral:rRNA from 1 species
UUAGCCUUAAACUUUAAUAGUCAAAACAACAAGACUAUUCGCCAGAACACUACAAGCAACAGCUUAAAAUUCAAAGGACUUGGCGGUGCUUCACACCCAC